ACGAAAGGGGGGAAAUACCAGAAAGAGGGAGAGAGGGAAGCAACUCGGGGCUCAAAACAAAUUCAAAUUAAAAGGUCAAGACACCGUUCAGGGAAUAUUACCGGAGAGAAAGAGGGAACCCGCGGGCCUCAGCGGGUUUGGGGGAGUCACGUAUCCCACGGAAAACCGGAACACCAGACUCGACAAAACCCUACCCAAAGAACUUCCCUUUACAGAGUGGAUGAGCUGAGGGCGUUUUUGAAAGGAGCCAAGGGCAGCGCUGUGGCUGGAGGGGAUUACCCGGAGAAGUUGAGCCCAGAGUACCCCUGGUCAGCGAGGGGGGUUGGACAUCCCCGGGGCCCAAAGAUUCAGAACCUAAGCUGUAGAGAUCCCUGUCAUCAAAAACAACGGCAGAGCCUAGAAGCGAUAGUCCGUAGUCUUGGCACUUUUAUCUUUCAUUCAACAGAACUGUAUUGACAAAAACAUUUUCUGUGAAUGAUAUAAGAACAGUUCAAAAGAGGGGGAAAGACAAGAGAAUUGGUUUCAAAUCUCAGAUGUCAAAUAGCAAAUUUGGACAAGAGACUGCCAGAGUGCUCUCACAGAAAGUGCCGAGAGGAUUAUGGAGAAG